AUCUUCGGAUGUGUAUAAAGUGGCGAACGGCUGAGUAACACGUGGGCAACCUGCCCUUUGCACUGGGAUAGCCUCGGGAAACCGAGGUUAAUACCGGAUACUCCAUAUUUGUCGCAUGGCGAAUAUGGGAAAGCUCCGGCGGCAAAGGAUGGGCCCGCGGCCUGUUAGCUAGUUGGUGGGGUAGUGGCCUACCAAGGCAAUGAUGGGUAGCCGGGUUGAGAGACCGACCGGCCAGAUUGGGACUGAGACACGGCCCAGACUCCUACGGGAGGCAGCAGUGGGGAAUCUUGCACAAUGGGCGAAAGCCUGAUGCAGCGACGCCGCGUGCGGGAUGAAGGCCUUCGGGUUGUAAACCGCUUUCAGCAGGGACGAGGCCGCAAGGUGACGGUACCUGCAGAAGAAGCCCCGGCUAACUACGUGCCAGCAGCCGCGGUAAUACGUAGGGGGCAAGCGUUAUCCGGAUUCAUUGGGCGUAAAGCGCGCGUAGGCGGUCUGUUAGGUCAGGAGUUAAAUCUGGGGGCUCAACCCCUAUCCGCUCCUGAUACCGGCAGGCUUGAGUCUGGUAGGGGAAGAUGGAAUUCCAAGUGUAGCGGUGAAAUGCGCAGAUAUUUGGAAGAACACCGGUGGCGAAGGCGGUCUUCUGGGCCAUGACUGACGCUGAGGCGCGAAAGCUAGGGGAGCGAACAGGAUUAGAUACCCUGGUAGUCCUAGCUGUAAACGAUGGACACUAGGUGUGGGGAGAUUAUACUUUCCGUGCCGCAGCUAACGCAUUAAGUGUCCCGCCUGGGGAGUACGGUCGCAAGACU
rnacentral:rRNA from 1 species